AAACCUUGGAUUCAAAGUAUAGUUAUUUCCUCUUUCUGUAAACUUUGCACCAUCAUCAUUUAUUCUUGAACUGAAUGUGUUCCAAGAGCUCUGUUGAGCAGCACAUGCAGAAAAUACAGUUUAAGAGUCAGAGUCAAUUUCUUUCACACGGUCUUGCCACAACAGCAUCUUUUUUCCCCCCACAAUUAGGAGCCAACCAGUGAGCCCUCUCCUAAGAGACCCAGGGGAAGACCCAAAGGCAGCAAAAACAAGAGUCCCUCUAAAGCAGCUCAAAAGAAAGCAGAAGCCAUUGGAGAAAAACGGCCAAGAGGCAGACCUAGGAAAUGGCCACAACAAGUCCUUCAGAAGAAGCCUGCUCAGGAGGAGACUGAAGAGACAUCCUCACAAGAGUCCGCCGAGGAGGAUUAGGGGGCGCCCACGUUGGAUUUCUACCUCAGCAGCAGUUGGAUCUUUCGAAGGGAGAAGACACUGCAGUGACCACUUAACUUGCUCUCUAUGGCCAUGGUCUUUCCACUUUC